AUACGUAGGGGGCGAGCGUUGUCCGGAAUUAUUGGGCGUAAAGGGUUCGCAGGCGGUCUGAUAAGUCAGAUGUGAAAGGCAAUGGCUCAACCAUUGUAAGCAUUUGAAACUGUCAGACUUGAGUUAAGGAGAGGAAAGUGGAAUUCCUAGUGUAGCGGUGAAAUGCGUAGAUAUUAGGAGGAAUACCAGUGGCGAAGGCGACUUUCUGGACUUAUACUGACGCUGAGGAACGAAAGCGUGGGGAGCAAACAGGAUUAGGUACCCUGGUAGUCCACGCCGUAAACGAUGAGUGCUAGGUGUUGGGGGUCAAACCUCGGUGCCGCAGCUAACGCAUUAAGCACUCCGCCUGGGGAGUACGUACGCAAGUAUGAAACUCAAAUGAAUUGACGGGG
rnacentral:rRNA from 1 species